CGGGACGGGUGAGUAAUGUCUGGGAAACUGCCCGAUGGAGGGGGAUAACUACUGGAAACGGUAGCUAAUACCGCAUAACGUCGCAAGACCAAGAGGGGACCUUCGGGCCUCUUGCCAUCGGAUGUGCCCAGAUGGGAUUAGCUAGUAGGUGGGGUAACGGCUCACCUAGGCGACGAUCCCUAGCUGGUCUGAGAGGAUGAUCAGCCACACUGGGACUGAGACACGGCCCAG
rnacentral:rRNA from 1 species